rnacentral:rRNA from 1 species
GUGGGGAAUAUUGGGCAAUGGGGGAAACCCUGACCCAGCGACGCCGCGUGAGGGAAGAAGGCCUUAGGGUCGUAAACCUCUGUUGUGUGGGAAGAAGAGCGUGACGGUACCACACGAGGAAGUCCCGGCUAACUACGUGCCAGCAGCCGCGGUAAUACGUAGGGGACGAGCGUUGUCCGGAUUUACUGGGCGUAAAGGGCGCGUAGGCGGUCAUUUAAGUCAGCUGUGAAAUGGUUUGGCUUAACCGGAUCAUGCGGUUGAAACUGGAUGACUGGAGUGCUGGGGAGGCAAGUGGAAUUCCCAGUGUAGCGGUGAAAUGCGUAGAUAUUGGGAAGAACACCGGUGGCGAAGGCGACUUGCUGGCCAGUAACUGACGCUGAGGCGCGAAAGCCAGGGGAGCAAACGGGAUUAGAAACCCCAGUAGUCC